GUGUUGGCCCUGUGAGGCAUGGUUGGUAUUUCCUGUGUACAGGUUUUGGGAUAGUAAGAAAUACAGAGGAACCUCUGCCCAAUUUUUUCUAGAAAUACGGAGAGGAAAAUGAGAUAUAAAUUCUUAACGUGUCUUGAAGAUCGAUACCGUAGGGUAAAUCUAUUAUGUUGGAUUAAAGUUUAAGAGAUACCCUCCAUGUCAUUUGUAAGAAGCAUUAUCCCUAUUUGGAAAAAUUUUAUCUCGAGAAAUCAUAUAUGAGUAGCAAAUUCUCAAUUUAUUUAAACGGACCGGAAAUAUGUUCCAACCCCAUUUUGCUUUAGAACAGCCUAGGUUGAGGGGCAAAAAUAUGUGGAAGGGCAAAGAUGCCCAACGGUUAAGUUUCCUCUAAUUGGAAGAAUACAAAGUGUAUGACAGGCAGUUGAGGAUUGAGUGGUCCGCUUACGACUCAAAUAUAUAUAUAUACAAAUAUGGAGGUAAUUAUGUGAAUUAAGUACUAACAGAUUCCGCGAAGUUCGUCGGAUUCUAGUUUUCUUUUGCUGGUAGUCGGAAGAUGCCUCACAGUAACAUUAUAUCAGUUUUCAUCGACUGAUUGGAGAUGGGAUCUGUGGAAUAAAAACUUAAACUCGUGAGCUGUCUAAAAUUACAUAUAUACACACAUGGAGAGUUAGUGGACAGACAAAUAACAAGAAAAAGGGAUGACCUUGAGUACAGGCGUAAAUCUUGGCUACAAAAGAAGAAGAAUGGAUUGCAUAGUUUGGAUAAGUUCAGUUUUACCGGGCAAGCAAUACUGAAAGUAAGUAAAGUAAAUACUGAUAAAUACGGGAAAAAAACAUUGAUAUCUACCUCGGGGAGAACUCUACCUCAACAUUCGAGGACGAAUGUUUUUAAAGGGGGGGAGAAUGUUACACCCCGUACUUCGAAGAAACACUGUUAAAUUUGAAUGUAAGAAUGUCGAGUUACGACUAGUUAAAACAACUUUGGAGUAUGAGGAAUGAGACAUUAUUAAGUAUAUUGUUUAAAUAAUGGAUGAUUAUGAUCUUGUAAGUCGUCAUCGGGAAAGAGUAUUUUAAAACACAAGAAUAUGGUCAUUAUCAUGUAUAAUAAGUGAUAAAUAUCAUGUAUGGAGGGUUUCGGAAUAUUUCGAGAUCGAGCAAGUUGAAGAAAAUAAGUUCGACGAAAAUUUGAGAAAUGCUGGACAAAUUUUUAGUCAACUUUGGAGGGGUAUAUCUCUAUGCAUAUUUGGAGUUUUAAGGCGUUUCAAAAGCCUAAAAUGAAGUUCGUCAAGUCUAGUUUAUGAUUCAACAAACCACUCAUCGAUAGGACGUCGGAGUAGAGAAUUAUAGACGCUACAAACUGAACUGUCGCGCAGAAACAGCACUGCUACAGUACGCUACAGCACUGCUACAGUACUGUAGCUACAGUGACGCCGUUUCAGCCCUUAUAAAAAGGGGCAAAACCCCAUUUUUAUCAUCUAAAAACUUCUCAAAUUUUCCAGAAAAUUCAGCAACAAAAAGGGGCCUAAAUCUCACAUAAAAGUGAGGAUUGUGAGUGAAAUUUCAAGCUACGAAGUACUAAUCGAAGUCCGGGCAACGCAUAAUCACGAAUAUAAUUUUGUUUGGAGUUAGAGGAGCAUGGGAACAAUAAGAUGUUGAAGGAUUUGCUACUUUCAUAAAAACAAGGUUUUGGACGAAACGGGAUUUGAGUUUUGGCAAGCGUAAAGGGCAAGAAAGGUACAGACUACAGAUUUGCUGACCCACCUGCCUAGGACACCUAUUCUGCUAUUCUGGAGCGCUCUUUUGUCCAGAGCCUAUACUCUGGUACAGUCUGCUGCUGUUGGAUAUAUGUGCGCUAUUCAUGGGUACGACGGGGCCCUGUCCUGUCUUAUGUUUCUGUUAUGUUCUGUAGAGGUCUGUAGACAUACAUGUGGGUUCUGUAUAUGUUUUGGGUUGCUAUGAUUUGUGAUAGCCUUAUCGGCUUCCAUGUGUUAUAUAUGUUCCUCUAUGACACUAGUAAUGUCGACUGACUUUUAUAUUUAUAUAAUCUGCUAGUCUGCUGGUUUGGAUUA